CCCUUAGAUGUUCUGGGCUGCACGCGCGCUACACUGAAGCGUUCAACGAGUAUUCACCUUGGCCGAUAGGUCUGGGUAAUCUUUGAACGCUGUUCGUGAUUGGGAUAGACCUUUGCAAUUAUGGGUCUUCAACGAGGAAUUCCUAGUAAACGCAAGUCAUCAGCUUGCAUUGAUUACGUCCCUGCCCUUUGUACACACCGCCCGUCGCACCUACCGAUUGAAUGGUCCGGUGAAAUCUCGGGACGGCGGCUUGGUCGCUUGCGUCCGACUGCUGAAACUUGAUUAAACCAUAUCAUUUAGAGGAAGGUGAAGUCGUAACA
rnacentral:rRNA from 1 species